rnacentral:rRNA from 1 species
AGCCUGAUGCAGCGACGCCGCGUGGGGGAUGACGGCCUUCGGGUUGUAAACUCCUUUCACCAUCGACGAAGGGUUUCUGACGGUAGAUGGAGAAGAAGCACCGGCUAACUACGUGCCAGCAGCCGCGGUAAUACGUAGGGUGCGAGCGUUGUCCGGAAUUACUGGGCGUAAAGAGCUCGUAGGUGGUUUGUCGCGUCGUCUGUGAAAUUCCGGGGCUUAACUUCGGGCGUGCAGGCGAUACGGGCAUAACUUGAGUGCUGUAGGGGAGACUGGAAUUCCUGGUGUAGCGGUGAAAUGCGCAGAUAUCAGGAGGAACACCGAUGGCGAAGGCAGGUCUCUGGGCAGUAACUGACGCUGAGGAGCGAAAGCAUGGGGAGCGAACAGGAUUAGAUACCCUGGUAGUCCAUGCCGUAAACGGUGGGCGCUAGGUGUGAGUCCCUUCCACGGGGUUCGUGCCGUAGCUAACGCAUUAAGCGCCCCGCCUGGGGAGUACGGCCGCAAGGCUAAAACUCAAAGGAAUUGACGGGGGCCCGCACAAGCGGCGGAGCAUGUGGAUUAAUUCGAUGCAACGCGAAGAACCUUACCUGGGCUUGACAUACACCAGAUUGCUGCAGAGAUGUAGUGUCCCUUGUGGUUGGUGUACAGGUGGUGCAUGGUUGUCGUCAGCUCGUGUCGUGAGAUGUUGGGUUAAGUCCCGCAACGAGCGCAACCCUUGUCUUAUGUUGCCAGCACGUGAUGGUGGGGACUCAUGAGAGACUGCCGGGGUUAACUCGGAGGAAGGUGGGGAUGACGUCAAAUCAUCAUGCCCCUUAUGUCCAGGGCUUCACACAUGCUACAAUGGUCGGUACAACGCGCAGCGACACUGUGAGGUGGAGCGAAUCGCUGAAAGCCGGCCUUAGUUCGGAUUGGGGUCUGCAACUCGACCCCAUGAAGUCGGAGUCGCUAGUAAUCGCAGAUCAGCAACGCUGCGGUGAAUACGUUCCCGGGCCUUGUACACACCGCCCGUCACGUCAUGAAAGUUGGUAACACCCGAAGCCAGUGGCCUAAACUUGUUAGGGAGCUGUCGAAGGUGGGAUCGGCGAUUGGGACGAAGUCGUAACAAGGUAGCCGUACCGGAAGGUGCGGCUG